GCGGUGUGGAUCCAGAAUGCAGAGGACCAUCCCGCUUUUGCGUGGGACUCUGGCGAGAGGCCGCGGAUUUUCCACGAGCCCAUCGUCUUCUUCCGAGAAAAUCGUCGCGUCUGUACUCUUCGAGAGGCUGCCUGUCGUCAUCCCCAAAAUCGACCCCGUCGUUUAUGCGUAUCAGGAGUUCGCGUUCCGGUGGCGACAGCAAUAUCGGCGCAUAUAUCCGGAUGAGCUUUUAGACAAGUCUAAUGCUAGGGGAAAAGGUGACUACCAAAUUGAUUAUGUACCUGCUCCACGGAUCACCGAAGCUGACAAAACGAAUGAUAAAAAGUCAUUGCAGAGAGCACUUGACAGAAGACUAUAUCUUCUGCUCUACGGAAACACUGAUGGAUCUGCUGGGAAGUCAGUCUGGCAUUUUCCUGAAAAAGUUUACCAGUCUGAAGAGACACUGCGGAAGUGUGCUGAAUCUGCUUUAAAAUCUGUCUUGGGAGACCUCUCACACACGUACUUUGUUGGAAAUGCGCCCAUGGGCCAUAUGGAACAGCCAGAAGAGAAUAUUAAGCAAUUCUUUUUCAAAUCUCAAGUGAUUGCAGCCAACAAGUUUGACAUUGGGAAGUGUGAGGACUUUGUCUGGGUGACCAAAGAUGAACUGAUAGAAUACUUUCCUGAGAAAGCCGACUUCCUUAACAAAAUGAUCAUCAGCUGAAUCCCCCACCCGUUUUUUGUUCCCUGAAAGUUUUUGCAUUUCAGUGAAAGAAUUAGUAUUGACUCUUUAUGGUAGAUUAAAGCUGGCAUAGAGAAUCGUAGGUUAUAGAAAGCUGAAAAUUUUGUGUUCAUGCUUUUGGUGGCUGACACUUGACCAUAUCGGAUUGUUUGUCACUUGGAUCAAUGCUGUUUCUCAAUCAAAGCUUCGCAUAUGCGAUAUUCCACCAUAGUUUCAUCGCCCGAUUGCGCAUGUUCAGAUAUAUGCCAGUAUUGUACCUUGAGGCCCUUGGAUGUUCUUGUCGUGUAAGGCUGGAAAUCCAUCCAGGUGACCGAUCGUGUGAAGUGAACUACGAAAGGAUUCGGUUCGAUCGGAUUGGAUUGGAUGGGAUGGGAUGGGAUGAAGGGAUAGGAUUAGUGUCCUUGGUAUGGGUCUUGCCCUUGGGUGUAGGUCACGAAAAGUAUAUUAAAUUAAGGCACCUCUCCCAGGUUAAAAUUACAGAUUGACCAACCUCUUCUCACCUUCCAUCACCUUCCACCACCUUCAAGUAUUGGUUGAAAGCUUGUAUUAUAUAUACGACUAGGAUUUGUGGACAAACGUUUUUGUGAGACUCACUCUAUAAUGUAUUUGAAAGAUUCAACCUUUAUCUUUUA